UACAACAACUGCAACUCCUAAUACAACAACUGCAACUCCUAAUACAACAACUGCAACUCCUAAUACAACAACUGCAGCUCUUAAUACAACAAUUGCAGCUCCUAAUACAACUGCAGCUCCUACUACAACAACUGCAGCUCCUAAUACAACAACUGCAACUCUUACUACAACAACUACAGCUCCUAAUACAACAACCACUACUGAGCUACCAGACACUACACAAAUGAGCACUAUAACUCCACCUGCAGGACAGUACACCAUGCAUAGUAGGUCUGGAUAUAAGUUGGUACUGAGGGUGAAAUUUACCAUGACAACAGACCUUACCGAAUCUGAAAUCUUGAAGCAGCUUCAGUGGGAACUGAUCAGACGAGGGAUGCCAGAGACCUUUACACUGCAUAUGAGAAUCAUUUCAGGACAGAAUAGAAGAAGAGUUAUACACUUUAAUGACGAUGGCCCGUUGGUGGAGGAUUAUGAACCCCAUGUCAUAUCACUUAAUCCGGCAUAGCAAAGACACGACAACAGAUACCUUACAAUAGAUUACCCCCAAGAUUACACUCUUAACCCAUGUCCUGCCGUAACUGGACCUAAUGUAUUAGGCAACUAAAUAUCUAUAGUACCUUCAGAAAGUUCACACUUCUUGACUUGUCUCACAUUUUAUGUUACAAAGUGUCAUUAAAAAUGAUUGAAUUGUAUUGUUUUGUAAACGAUCUACACAAAAUACUCUGUAAUGUGGAGAGAGAAAAAGUGGAAGUGGACAUUAUUUUUGAACAUUUGUAAAUUAAAUAUGAUGUAUUAAUCAACAGUCAGUUGCUAUGUUCUCAUAGUGAAAGUCAUCUAACUCAGAAACUUCAAUGACCCAAACACUUGUAACUGAACUCAAGGCCACUGAUAUUUUUUUUGUUGGUAUUAUAUACUAGGCUAAAUCAUUUGGAAAAUGAGAGAGUUAACAGACUAAGGCAGGGUAUAGGCUAACGGAAAACAACACGGUCAUUGAGGUGAGAAUCACCACAGGUCAACAUCAUACAUGAACUUCUGUACUUGAACUCAACAAACACAACAGUACACACAUUCAGACUUUUGAGGAUGAGAUGGUCUUAUCAACUGAGAGGGAAAAUAUAACAGAAUCC